rnacentral:rRNA from 1 species
ACGGGGCGCAGCAGGCGCGAAAACUUCACACUGCAGGAAACUGUGAUGAGGGAACUCCAAGUGCUAUCACUAUGUGGUAGCUUUUCUUAACUAUUAAUCGGUUUUGGAAUAAGGGCUGGGAAAGACCGGUGCCAGCCGCCGCGGCAAUACCGGCAGCUCAAGUGGUCGUCGCUUUUAUUGGGCCUAAAACGUCCGUAGCCUGUUUGGUAAAUCUGUGGGUAAAUCAACCAGCUUAACUGGUUGAAUUCUGCAGAGACUGCCAGACUAGGGACCGGGAGAGGUGUGGGGUACUCUAGGGGUAGGGGUAAAAUCCUGUCAUCCUUAGAGGACCACCAGUUGCGAAGGCGCCACACUGGAACGGAUCCGACGGUCAGGGACGAAGCCUAGGGGCACGAACCGGAUUAGAUACCCGGGUAGUCCUAGGUGUAAACGCUGUGAACUUGGUGUCGGGGAUCCGUAAUGGGUUCUCGGUGCCGGAGUGAAGAUGUUAAGUUCACUGCCUGGGGAGUACGGUCGCAAGGCUGAAACUUAAAGGAAUUGGCGGGGGAGCACUGCAACGGGAGGAGCGUGCGGUUUAAUUGGAUUCAACGCCGG